UGAACCAUGACUUGCCAGACAUCCAAGCCCACUUCGCCUCACUACAGCACAAUUCCUCUCUAGGACAUGUGCCCAGUCUGCUAGUUGGAAGUUGAGCAUCCUAAUGAACCAGCGCUCCUGUCCUUUUGAGCCUAGAAUGAGUUCUUUUGACUCAACCCAUGGCAACCUUUUCCCUGGCUUUCUCUCUCCUCAGUUCCAGUAGAGUGACUGGCAUAUGCUGGUAAAUGUCUGCUGAACUGCAGUAAUGCUGUGGCACCUUCACUUCAGGGGGCCUCCUCUAGAAUAAGACAUCAUGAGUGGCCAAAUGGCUUCCACCCACUUUCUGCCUUGUGUAAAUCUUUUUCACUAGGUGGGGGUAACCUGAAGGAGAAGGAUUUAUAAGCAUGGAGGGCCCACCUCUUGUAGGCAAAUUCAUCUUCUGAGGCAGGAAGCAGCAUUAGGAAUGAUCUAGCCCAUCUCCUUGCCCCAGGGUGAGACAAUAAGGGAUCUUCCACUCUGCCCAGCAUCGUACUGUUUGCAGAAGGAGUAAGAAGGGAUAAAGAGGAAGUUAGAAGACUGACCUAGUCACCAAUGACGGGAGCUGUCCCCUGUCGUUACGCCUUGUGAGGUGACGGAGAACAAGGGGUCAGAAUCACCCUAACAAGGCUGCAUCCACUGCUACUGGAAGGAGGCUGGAUGGCGCGGUCAUGCUUCCUAUGCACAGGCAUACAGUUUGCCUUCCCCUUAGGCCACUGUGGGAUGAGAAUUCCAGGAGAAAACGCAGGAAGGAUGCUUGUUAUUUAAUAACAAGCUUGAGGAAAUCACAACAGAGAGGAGGAAGCAAACAGGCUGACAAGUCAGGAUGGCAGCGUGGGGGCCAGCGCCCCCAGUUCACCCACCAUGGGCAUGAUCCAGGAGGCCAGGCAGGGCUGGAAUUAAGAGCACAGGUUUUGGAGUCUCCCAAUCUCACCUGGAAUUCCAGCCGCACCUCUUACUACACACUGGCCUUGGGUAAAUCAUUCUGUCUCUCCAAUACUUAGUGUUCCUUAUCCACUAGGGGGAUUAAAUGAGAUUCCGGAGUGCCCAGCACACAGCCCAUCAAGACCUGUAGGUGUGCCACACUCCACGUUGUCACCAUGACAUCAGCAACCCCUCCUCUUCCCCCACGGAGUCUUCCCCACUUUCUGAAGUCUGAAGAACUGGGACUGGAACAUGUCCAAGGGGCUGCUCGUCACUGCCGGAGGGAUAACUGUUCAGACACUGUCGUCACACAGUCACAGAAAGACUCAGAACUUCAUUGCUACUUUAUUUGUUGUUUUCUGCCUUUAGGAUACUUCCUUAUGAUAAAAAAUGUGAUAUUACUAAAAAAAUAUUAAAAAGUAGGGAGAAAUGCUACCAAGUAUACUCCACAUUUUGGCUUACUUUCUUCCAGAUUUAUAAUGCGUAUUUUGGAUGUAAUUGAGAUUCUACUGCAUGUACAUUUUAUUCUGGUAUUUCACAGGACAUGAUAAGGUAAGCAUGCUGUCAUGCUGUUAAAAACUCUUCAGAGACAUCAUUAAAUGGGCACAUCCUAUUCCAUGGUAGGGCUACACCAGGCCCCCAUUGUUAAAUAUUUAAAUUGUCUCCAAUAUUUUACUGUUGGAAGUCACACUGUCAUAAGAUACUUGUGCAUACGUCUUUGCAUUUUUGUUUAUUUUAUUUGAGCAGAAAUGGGGCUAAAAGUUAUGGAUAUUUUUAAGAUUCUUAAUACAAAUUGCCAAGUUACAUUCCAGAAAAGUCUGGCCAAGUCUUUCCUGUGGCUAGGGUUUAGGAGUUCCUGCUACACACUCACAUCCUCUCCUUCAAUGGCUUGUCCUUAUUCAUCAACAAGCAAAAUAGGGCACUUGCCUUUUUCUUUUUAUCUUUUUAUUUUGAAAUAAUUUCAAACUUAGAGAAAAGUUGCAAGAACAGAGAAAGACACUCACAUAGAUGCUUCCCCUAGAUGGUCCAAUUGCUAACAUUUUUGUCAUAUUUGCUUUAUUAUUCCUCAAUAGAUAGGUAUGUAGGCAGAAAUAUACAUAUGUAACAUACAUACACAUACAUAAACACACAUAUAUUUUUUUGGAAUCAUCUGAGACUAAGUUCCAAACAGGAUGUCCUUUAUGCCUAAAUACUUCAGCAUGUAUUUUAUAGAAACAAAGACAUUUUCAUAUACUGUGAUGAGCAAAAUAAGAAAUUUAACAUGGACACAGUACUGUAACUAAUCUGUAGGCCUUAAAUUUCACCCCAUGCCCUUUAUACCAAAAAAAAUUUAAUAAAAGGGAGUUCAGGAUUCAACCUAAGUCAUGCAUUACACUUAAUUGUCAUAUUUCUUUAGUUCCUUUAAUCUUUAGUUCCUUUAAUCUAAAACAGUUCUCUCCAUCCCUCUGUCUUCCAUGACCAUGACCUUUUUAAAAAGAACAAGCCAGGAUAUUUGUAGCAUGUCCCUCAAUUUGGGUUUGUCUAAUAUUUCCUCCUGAUUAGCUCAGAAUCACGCAUUUUGGGCAGGAGCACCACGGAAGUGAUGUUGGGUCCAUCUUGGGAUAUCACAUUGGGUGGCGUGUCCACAUUUGUUAGUUGGCAUUAUGUCCUAAGGAAAAGUUUUCCUCAUUCUGCCCCGUUUAUUCACUAACUUCCGUAUGUCGGUAUAGACUCAUGGAUUCUUAUUUAAGCUGUUAAUGUCUCCUCUCUUUUGAUGCUCUAAUUAUCCGGGAUUUAGGCAGUAGGAAGCUCUUGGAUGGGACUUCUGUGUCCUUUGACACGACCUCGUCCUUCUGAGAGCAUGACUUUCUGGCACCAGAUGUAGCAAGAAGCUCUCUUGUGCUGACUUUGCCUUUGAUUCCUUUCAGUAAAGCACAAUAUUAGAAACCAAAAUCUAGAUGCUAGACUCACAUAUUGCUCUAGGGGUGUCAUUAUUUCUAAGUCCUUUCAGCAGCUCUCGAGUUGGGAUAUGUACAUAUGUGUGUAUGUACAUAAUCCAUAUUAUAUAUACAUCCAUACAUGUACAUAUGAUAUAGAUGAAUAAAUAUAAUCAUAUUAACAUGGUAUUUCUUUUUAAAUUAGAAUUUUUUAAAUUAUUGCUGAGGUUGAACACUUCCAAAUGUUAUUAGGGUAUCAUACGGCUCCUUUGCACACCUGUCUAUCAGAGUCUUCGCAUUUCUUUAGAUACAUAUUUAAAUAUGGAUAUUAAGGAAAAAUACUACAUUCGUGGUAAGUACUUUCCCAAAUUUAU
rnacentral:lncRNA from 10 species